rnacentral:pre_miRNA from 9 species
UCUCGAUAGCGUAAAAGUUAACUCAAAUUUGUAUGGAGUGGGAACGUUGCUCACGUUUGCCGCCAGGGGCGCUGCUCCAACUGCAUACAAAUUCAAGUUCACUUUUACGCUAUAGA